rnacentral:tRNA from 1 species
UCCCGGAUAGUUCAGUGGUAGAACGCCACGCUGUUAACGUGGAUGUCGUAGGUUCGAAUCCUACUCCGGGAG